CCCGGCACAAGCGGUGGAGUAUGUGGUUUAAUUCGAUGCAACGCGAAGAACCUUACCUGGUCUUGACAUCCCGGAGACCCUUAGGAAACUAGGGGUGCUUCCAUCUGGAAGAAUCUGGAGACAGGUGCUGCAUGGCUGUCGUCAGCUCGUGUCGUGAGAUGUUGGGUUAAGUCCGCAACGAGCGCAACCCUUGCCUUUAGUUGCCAGCAGUUCGGCUGGGCACUCUAAAGGGACUGCCGGUGUUAAACCGGAGGAAGGUGGGGAUGACGUCAAGUCCUCAUGGCCUUUAUGACCAGGGCUACACACGUACUACAAUGGCCGAUACAAAGGGCAGCGACACUGCGAGGUGAAGCCAAUCCCGUAAAAUCGGUCUCAGUCCGGAUUGGAGUCUGCAACUCGACUCCAUGAAGUUGGAAUCGCUAGUAAUCGUGGAUCAGAAUGUCACGGUGAAUACGUUCCCGGGCCUU
rnacentral:rRNA from 1 species